rnacentral:rRNA from 1 species
UACGUAGGGUGCGAGCGUUGUCCGGAAUCAUUGGGCGUAAAGCGCGUGUAGGCGGCCUUGUAAGUCCGUUCUGAAAGCCCGGGGCUCAACCCCGGGAGGCGGAUGGAUACUGCAAGGCUCGAGUACGGAAGAGGCGAGUGGAAUUCCUGGUGUAGCGGUGAAAUGCGCAGAUAUCAGGAGGAACACCAAUGGCGAAGGCAGCUCGCUGGGACGGUACUGACGCUGAGACGCGAAAGCGUGGGGAGCAAACAGG